GAUGAACGCUGGCGGCGUGCCUAAUACAUGCAAGUCGAGCGAAUGGAUUAAGAGCUUGCUCUUAUGAAGUUAGCGGCGGACGGGUGAGUAACACGUGGGUAACCUGCCCAUAAGACUGGGAUAACUCCGGGAAACCGGGGCUAAUACCGGAUAACAUUUUGAACCGCAUGGUUCGAAAUUGAAAGGCGGCUUCGGCUGUCACUUAUGGAUGGACCCGCGUCGCAUUAGCUAGUUGGUGAGGUAACGGCUCACCAAGGCAACGAUGCGUAGCCGACCUGAGAGGGUGAACGGCCACACUGGGACUGAGACACGGCCCAGACUCCUGCGGGAGGCAGCAGUAGGGAAUCUUCCGCAAUGGACGAAAGUCUGACGAAGCAACGCCGCGUGAGUGAUGAAGGCUUUCGGGUCGUAAAACUCUGUUGUUAGGGAAGAACAAGUGCUAGUUGAAUAAGCUGGCACCUUGACGGUACCUAACCAGAAAGCCACGGCUAACUACGUGCCAGCAGCCGCCGUAA
rnacentral:rRNA from 1 species